rnacentral:lncRNA from 1 species
UGCCGGCGCGCCUAGUUGCCGCGGAAUCUUCUUCUUUGUUUAUGUCUCUCCUUCCUCCUCAGCUGCACUUCCUCGUCGGCUCCUCCUCUGCUUUUUUCGAAGGUAGUGGAGGGAGGAACCUCUUGUAAUGCAAGCCAUUUCACAAGAUAAUAAUCUAAAAUUAGAGGCAAGAGAGUAUCUCUCACUUAACAAACACAAAC